ACCGGAUCUCUUGCGUCCGCCUCCGCCGUGCGACCUCCGCAUUCUCCCGCGCCGCGCCGCGCCACGCCUCCUUCCCGCGUGAACAUUCCUCCUUCCCGCGCGAGCGAUUCCACCAUCUCCCCCGUCCGGCGCCUACGGAGUACACCGCAACCGGUCGCCCCAAUCCGGCGCCUAGACCGUGACCCACCCGCCAUCUUCCGCAAGACCGAAUCCCCAACCCACCCACCAUCUUCCGCCGCCCCCGUCCCCGUCCCCGGCCAUGGAUCCGUCGCCGGCCGUGGAUCCGUCGCCGGCCGUGGAUCCGUCGCCGGCUGCUGAAACCCGGCGGCGUGCAACCGGGAAAGGAGGCAAACAGCGCGGGGGCAAGCAACUAGGAUUGAAGAGGCCGCCGCCGAUUUCUGUCCCGGCCACCCCGCCUCCUGCUGCGACGUCUUCAUCCCCUGCUGCGCCGACGGCCAUCCCACCACGACCACCGCAAUCUUCGCCGAUUUUCGUCCCCGAUUCGCCGAAUCCGUCACCGGCUGCGCCGACCUCCUCUCUUGCUUCGGGGACAUCGACGGCAAGGCCACCGCAACCACAAGGAGGAGGAUGGGGACCAACAUCGACCAUUUCCCCAAACUUUGCAUCUUUCUUUGGAAACCAACAAGACCCAAAUUCAUGUUUGGUCAGGGGUUAUCCUCCAGGAGGGUUUGUCAAUUUUAUUCAACAAAAUUGUCCGCCGCAGCCACAACAGCAAGGUGAAAAUUUUCAUUUCGUUGGUCACAAUAUGGGAUUCAACCCAAUAUCUCCACAGCCACCAAGUGCCUACGGAACACCAACACCCCAAGCUACGAACCAAGGCACUUCAACAAACAUUAUGAUUGAUGAAGAGGACAACAAUGAUGACAGUAGGGCAGCAAAGAAAAGAUGGACUCAUGAAGAGGAAGAGAGACUGGCCAGUGCUUGGUUGAAUGCUUCUAAAGACUCAAUUCAUGGGAAUGAUAAGAAAGGUGAUACAUUUUGGAAGGAAGUCACUGAUGAAUUUAACAAGAAAGGGAAUGGAAAACGUAGGAGGGAAAUUAACCAACUGAAGGUUCACUGGUCAAGGUUGAAGUCAGCGAUCUCUGAGUUCAAUGACUAUUGGAGUACGGUUACUCAAAUGCAUACAAGCGGAUACUCCGACGACAUGCUUGAGAAAGAGGCACAGAGGCUGUAUGCAAACAGGUUUGGAAAACCUUUUGCGUUGGUCCAUUGGUGGAAGAUACUCAAAGAUGAGCCCAAAUGGUGUGCUCAGUUUGAAUCAGAGAAAGACAAGAGCGAAAUGGAUGCUGUUCCAGAACAGCAGUCACGUCCUAUUGGUAGAGAAGCAGCAAAGUCUGAGCGCAAUGGAAAGCGCAAGAAAGAAAAUGUUAUGGAAGGCAUUGUCCUCCUAGGGGACAAUGUCCAGAAAAUUAUAAAGGUCCACGAAGACCGGAGGGUGGAUCGUGAAAAGGCCACCGAAGCACAGAUUCAGAUAUCAAAUGCAACAUUGUUGGCCGCUAAGGAGCAGAAGGAAGCAAAGAUGUUCGAUGUGUACAAUACUCUAUUAAGUAAGGAUACAAGCAACAUGUCUGAAGAUCAAAUGGCUAGCCACCAGAGGGCAAUACGGAAAUUAGAGGAGAAGCUAUUUGCGGAUUAAGGUGAGUUUUAUAAACUGACCACUAUUUUCUGAAAUGUAUGAAUUCUGAAAUUUAUAUACAAUUGUGUAAACAUGGAAAAUUAGAUAAUGUAUGCAUGAUGCACAACAUGUGCGUGCAGCACUAUUUAAUGGCAGUUUCACAAGUGUGAAAACUGACCACUAUAGUACUAUUGUGGUGUGAAAACUGACCACUACUAUUGUGGUGUGAAUGCUACUGUGGUGUGAAAACUGACCACUAUAGUUUCACAUUCCUGGAUGCAGCCCUCCUCUAUAUAUAUAGAUACAGUCCUCAUCUCUUCCUGGCAUACACACAGCCCUCUUCUCUAAUUCCUGGACGCAGUCCUCAUCUCUUCCUGGCAUAGACGCAGCCCUUCUCUCUUCCUGUUUAGUUCAACAACAUUGAGGUGAUCUGCCUUUCUUUGAAGUUUCUAUCUUUUUUCACUGCUGUGAAUGAUUAUUUCUCUGCUGUGAAUGAUUAUUUCUCCAAUCUUCCUUUGUUCACCUUCUCUCUUUCUCUGCUGUGAAGAUGUCUGGAAAUGAAAAUCAGAUUCCUGUGUCCUUGUUGGACGAGUUUCUCGCUGAGGAUGAGAUCAUGGAUGAGAUAAUGGAUGAUGUUCUCCAUGAAAUGAUGGUGUUAUUGCAGUCCUCCAUCGGAGAUCUUGAAAGAGAGGCUGCUGACCAUCGUUUGCAUCCAAGGAAGCACAUCAAGAGGCCACGAGAGGAAGCACAUCAAAAUUUGGUGAAUGAUUAUUUCUCUGAAAAUCCUCUAUAUCCUUCCAAUAUUUUUCGCCGAAGAUUUCGUAUGUACAGGCCGCUGUUUUUACGUAUUGUGGACGCAUUAGGCCAGUGGUCAGAUUACUUUACUCAGAGGGUAGAUGCCGCUGGUAGGCAAGGGCUUAGUCCAUUACAAAAGUGUACUGCAGCAAUUCGCCAAUUGGCUACUGGUAGUGGUGCUGAUGAACUAGAUGAGUAUUUGAAGAUUGGAGAGACUACUGCUAUGGAUGCUAUGAAAAAUUUUGUGAAAGGAAUUAGAGAAGUAUUUGGUGAAAGAUAUCUCAGGCGUCCCACUGUAGAAGAUACUGAACGACUACUCGAGCUUGGUGAGAGACGCGGUUUUCCUGGUAUGUUCGGUAGCAUUGACUGUAUGCAUUGGCAAUGGGAAAGGUGCCCAACUGCGUGGAAGGGUCAGUUCACUCGUGGUGAUCAAAAAGUGCCAACGCUGAUUCUUGAGGCAGUGGCAUCACAUGAUCUUUGGAUUUGGCAUGCGUUCUUUGGAGUAGCAGGUUCUAACAAUGAUAUCAAUGUUUUGAGCCGAUCUACUGUGUUUAUCAAUGAGCUGAAAGGACAAGCUCCUAGAGUGCAGUACAUGGUAAAUGGGAAUCAAUACAACGAAGGUUAUUUUCUUGCUGAUGGAAUUUACCCUGAAUGGAAGGUAUUUGCUAAGUCAUAUCGACUCCCUAUCACUGAGAAGGAGAAGUUGUAUGCACAACAUCAAGAAGGGGCAAGAAAGGAUAUCGAGAGAGCAUUUGGUGUUCUACAACGUCGAUUCUGCAUCUUAAAACGACCAGCCCGUCUAUAUGACCGAGGUGUACUCCGUGAUGUUGUCCUAGGUUGCAUCAUACUUCACAAUAUGAUAGUUGAAGAUGAGAAGGAAGCGCGACUUAUUGAAGAAAAUCUAGAUUUAAAUGAGCCUGCUAGUUCAUCAACGGUUCAGGCACCAGAAUUCUCUCCUGACCAGCAUGUUCCAUUAGAAAGAAUUUUAGAAAAGGAUACUAGUAUGAGAGAUCGUUUGGCUCAUCGCCGACUCAAGAAUGAUUUGGUGGAACAUAUAUGGAAUAAGUUUGGUGGUGGUGCACAUUCAUCUGGAUGAAACAAGGAACUAGGUUUCUGAACGCAUUACGGACUGAAGGUUGAGGGGCAGAAUGAUCCACCCAGUUGCUUCUAUCAGAUCACUAAAGUUUCAUUUCACUGUUUUAUUUUGGACACUUGAUGCUUGUGUGCAUCCGAUGAAUGUUUAAUUUGGUCACCUGAUGCUUGUGUGCAUCCGAUGAAUGUUUAAUUUGGUCACCUGAUGCUUGUAUGCAGUUAUCUAUCUUAUUUGUUAAUGUUGCUGGUACUGAGGAUUUUUAGAAGUGAAAUGCACAAGUUGCUGUGUUUUUUGACUGAUC